rnacentral:misc_RNA from 1 species
CACGAACCGUACGAACGUUAUGCGGAAUCAUUGGGCUUAAAGAGCGCGUAGGCGGCGUCGUAAGUUGGAGGUGAAAUCCCAUCGGCUCAACCGUGGAACUGCCCCCAAUACUGCGAUGCUUGAGGGAGGUAGGGGCAUGUGGAACUUCCAGUGGAGCGGUGUAAUGUGUUGAGAUUGGAAGGAACGCCAGUGGCGAAAGCGACGUGCUGGAUCUCUUCUGACGCUGAGGCGUGAAAGCUAGGGUAGCGAACGGG